rnacentral:tRNA from 1 species
GCCCGGAUGGCGGAACUGGCAGACGCAGGGGGCUUAAACCCCCCGGGUGGCAACACCUUGUGGGUUCGAUUCCCACUCCGGGCA